GCGGGACACGUGGUAUCCUGUCUGAAUAUGGGGGGACCAUCCUCCAAGGCUAAAUACUCCUGACUGACCGAUAGUGAACCAGUACCGUGAGGGAAAGGCGAAAAGAACCCCGGCGAGGGGAGUGAAAAAGAACCUGAAACCGUGUACGUACAAGCAGUGGGAGCCUCUUAAUGGGGUGACUGCGUACCUUUUGUAUAAUGGGUCAGCGACUUAUAUUCUGUAGCAAGGUUAACCGAAUAGGGGAGCCGAAGGGAAACCGAGUCUUAACUGGGCGUUAAGUUGCAGGGUAUAGACCCGAAACCCGGUGAUCUAGCCAUGGGCAGGUUGAAGGUUGGGUAACACUAACUGGAGGACCGAACCGACUAAUGUUGAAAAAUUAGCGGAUGACUUGUGGCUGGGGGUGAAAGGCCAAUCAAACCGGGAGAUAGCUGGUUCUCCCCGAAAGCUAUUUAGGUAGCGCCUCGUGAAUUCAUCUCCGGGGGUAGAGCACUGUUUCGGCAAGGGGGUCAUCCCGACUUACCAACCCGAUGCAAACUGCGAAUACCGGAGAAU
rnacentral:rRNA from 1 species